UUGAAGUUUGAACAAAUAUUAAGCGUGUUUAGUUGUAUCAAAAUGUGACUUGGUGCCAUCUACUGGCGGUUUCUGGUAUGUUUUGCGUAUUACCGACACUUUUACACUUCCGCUCUGACAGGAAGUAGGAAGUUGUUCCGGUAUCAUCGUCAGUGCGCCUGCUGAUCUCGUCCCAUAAUCUCUCCGCAUCUUUUCCAUCCUCAGCCCUGCAACAGCAUCGCCUCCGUGCCAACACGUGCUGGGAGUUACGUUGGAGGUUUCACCUGCUGCUGAAAUACGAGUGGAUGAUCCUGCCCUUAUUUUUAAUAAGUCAGCUCUGCCCUCAAGAACUGUUACAGCACCCCCCUCUGCUUGGACUGCGCCACAUCCCUUUUGAAGAGCCUGCAGUGUCAAAGGUCUCAUGAUUUGAUCUUCCAGAGCUGUGGAUGGGAAAGCAAAGAUACCAUUUGCUAUCCUGAUGGGAACGCUAGUCAAGGACUCCUGGACCAUCUGCACACCUGUCUGAAGCUCACCUGG